ACCCUUUUCAAUCGGACCCAAGAUUGUUCUGGUGUCAUAAUCAGGGGCGAAGCCACCGCUUAGACUAUGGUGGCAUGUGCACCCGUAGUUUUAUAAAUAUUAUACGUUUUGUAUGUAAAAUAUUAAAGAAAUCAGCUAGCUGAGUUGGUUUAGUAGAGUUAUGCACCCCUCUCAUGGCCUAAGAUCGAUUCCCCCGUAGGAUUUUAUUAACUUUUGCACCCAUAGCAAAUAAAAACUUUGUGAAAUAAUCAUGUCACAAAUUGGUUCUAUAAUGUGAUAAUUUUGGAUGAAAAGUCCACCAAUUCUUUUCGUUCAGGCGAGUGUUUGUCUAGUUGACGCGAUGCAAAACAGAAAAUUAUACUACACUAUGUGUAUUAGAAAAAUAAUAUAGAAUAAUUCAUUAAUACCAAUAAUAUAUCAACAAACAUAUUUGUCUUAACUGCAAAAAAGAAUAAAAAGAAAAAAGAGAGAGGAGAAAAAGAAAUGGGAAAAUGAGUAGAAAGAAAAGGAGAAGAAUUAAAAAGAAGGAGAAAAAAAAAUAAGAAAUGAAAAAAUAAACCUAUUAAUUUAUAGUAAUGAUGCAACAAUAAAACAUAACACAUGUUUAUUUAAUGUAAAAUUAUAUUUUUAUUUUACUUUUACCAAAUAGAAUAAAAAAAAAGUAUAUUUCAAAGCAAUGAUUAGUAAAACAUGCACAUUUUAAUUCAAUCGAUGAAUCGACUUCAAACCACUUGGAUUGGAAAGGUAACACAGUUCUAUCUCUUGUGUCUGAAAAUGAGCCCAAUCCUUUAGUGUAAAGUUUUUUUUUUCAAUUGCUAAACUUCUAAUGCAUAUGCACUAUUAUGUAUUUUUAAUUGUAUUUUUUUGCACCCAAAUUGGUUUUCUUUGUUUCAAAUUGAUCUAAAAUCUGAAAGGACCUGAUAAAGCAUUAAGAGACACUAAAAAUACUCUUUAAUUCGAUAGAAAAAAUCAAAACAAAAAUUAGAAACUAGUAAAAACACAGUUUAUCACAGUUGUAAUACCAUAAAAUAAUCAACAAAACUUGAUUGUAUUCAUUCCUAAAGUAAGGUAUUUAUAGAAUGAUGUUGAACCUAAUAUUAAUAGGAAUUAACUCAAAUGUUAUAUAAUAGACUACAACAUUGUAUAUUCCUUUAUCGUACUAAAAGACAGCACUCCGAAAGAAGUGGGCUACUCGAGUAUAAACCAGCUCCAAGUUUUAAAGAUAACUCUUCUCGUGAAAUCUGGUUUGUUUGCGGCAAAGAGGAUCGUCCACGAUCUUUCACCAUGUGACAUUGUCAAUCUUGUUUUGUCAAGAUCCUUUAAUAACAUCGCGAGCUUGAAAAAAGAAGCUUUAAAUUGGUGUAUAUAUUCCGGUUUAGUGGUUUGGUUAGUUAGUUGGUUUAGUUCCCCAAUUGUAUAGCUAACUAUAUAUAGUAUAUACUUGUAAAUAUUCAUUCUAAUCAAUAAGAGAUAUUUUGAUAACAAACUUUCGUCACUCUCUCUCUCUCUCUCAUACCAUAUUACCAUCAAGCUUCAGAGAGAGAGUGAAGAAAGUUUGUUAUCAAAAUAUCUUUUAUUGAUUAAAAUGAACAUUUACAAUUAUAUAUAGUUAGCUAUACAAGUAGAGAAUUAAACCAACCUAAACCAAACCAUUAAACGGGAAUACAUACACCAAUAUUUUAUAAUAAUUAAAGCUUUGUAAUAGUUAGAUAUAUGUACACAAAUAUAUAAUAGUUAAAGUUUCGUAACAGUUAGAUAUAUAUGUGUGUGUGUCUGUAUAAGGGAGAUUACACACGUAAAGCUUCAAAUAAUUUAAUUAGAAUGUUUGAGCUUUGCUCUGUUUUAGGGUAGAGUUUACCCAAAACCGUAAGAGUUUACCAAGUAUUAUGUAGCAAACUGAUAACAAAUAUCCAUGUUGCAAUAAAACGGGGGCAUAUUUAUAAAGCGUAAGAGUUUAUACAAGAAGGAGAGGAGCCCAAAGGCUAAAUGAGACUGAAGUAGAGGAGUGAUUAGGUGGCAAAAUCCUCGUUAUAAACUUACAAUAAUACAAUAAUAGCUACAUAACUAGAGCAUUGGUACUGCAUAGUUGGCAUAAUCGAGAUGACAUAUAACUUUGGGAGAUUACUGUAGCAAAACUUGAAAAUCCUUUUGCAUACAAACUCUCACAUUACACCCAGUAGGUUUCAUAUGAGCAGAGAAGAUUUUCUUCAGAAACUUUGAAAGUAUCAACCAGCCUUGGAAAGUAUCCUUUCAACUAGGUACAUUGGUUCAUUCUCAUUAACGAGUGCAUGCACUAAAAGCCACGAGAGGCGAAUGUAUAUAGUAACUUCAUUGCGCAAAAAAAGAGAGAAAUGUGGUACAUGGAAAAGACCGGACAUAAUCAAAGUCAAUAUCAUUUUUAUUCAAACGUUUAUUCAUUUGAGUUUAACUAAACAUGAACUAAGAUAAAAGAUCUUGAAGCAAGGUUAUAUAUGAUGAAAUAAGUUCUAGAAGAGCCAAUGUUUCCUUGAAUAACAAGGUUAUAGUACUUUCCAUAUAUCAACCCUAGUAGCUAUAUAUAAACAACAAGAUUUUGACAUGUGUUUUAAACAAAAACGCAGAAUUAUUUUUUUGGUAACAAAUUGUAAAUUUUUAUGUUUCUUUAUUUGUAGAUAUAAUAUAGUUGUAAAUUUAAAAGUUUGAGAUAUUUUGACCAUUUUAUAUUUUGUAUAAUUAUAUUACAUAGUAAAACAGGAAAUAUUCAUUUAAAAAUAUCAUUUAACAUCUAUCUAUCUAUUUAUUUAUUUACUUAUAUAUUUAAAGUUAUGUUUUUUCUUUUCUCAGCCCACCACGUCAUCAAGCCGAUUAACCUCAUUUCAACACCUGUCCAUUUGAUAAAAUGUUUAGUUUCAUUAACGUUCGGCUAUCUAGAGGUGAAGCUGACAUUUGUUUUAGGAUUUAUCCAUUUCAACUGACAUUUCAACAUUUGUUUUAACGUUCGGCUAUCUAGAGGUGAAGCUGACAUUUGUCCAUUUCAACACCCGUUAGGCACAUUCACUUUCUAGAGGUGAAGCUGACAUUUGUUUUAGGAUUUAUCGUCGUCUCCCAAAGGAGACUAACUCCAAAUACCCCAUACCCUCUUAAAACGAUUCCCACUACCCCUUUCUAUUCACACUACCUUUUUAUACGUGCAUUCCUAAAUUUAGCCUUCCCUUUACAUUUAACUCUCCAAUUAGAUAAAUUUCCAUAAAUCAGAUCUCCAACCACCCGACCCCACAAACAACUUUAACCAAUUAAAUCACUCAACCCAUUCUCUUUCUUCUUCCCCAAACUCUCGUUUGUUAUCAUCCUCCAUUGACAAAAUUUGAAGCUCAAAAAGAAGGAAAAAAUGCAAAAUCCACAUUGCACAAUCAUUUGUUUUGAUUAUGAGAGAUAUUAUAUAAAUGAUGUGGCUGAAAUAAAAUGGAUCGCAUUUGCUGUACUACUUAGAACUCAGUGGGCGAUGAUGAUGAAGGAAGAGAUGAAAUUCACACGAUUGUGUUAAAGAAAUUAGUGGAGAAAGUCACUUACUCUGGUUUGGUUGACCGCAUUUGCAGUACUACUUAGAACUAAUAUGUGUAAUCUAGAGUACUACUUCUUCUUUGAACUACUAUUUGUAUUAUGCAUGUUUCUAAAAACUUAUAUUUUCGUCUUAUUAUUUGUUUUUAUCAGAUAUAACUUUUAUUGGUUGUAUAUAUAUGUCUAAAUAUGUGUUUAUUUAUCAAA